rnacentral:rRNA from 1 species
GAUGAACGCUGGCGGCGUGCCUAAUACAUGCAAGUCGAGCGAACGGAUGAGAAGCUUGCUUCUCUGAUGUUAGCGGCGGACGGGUGAGUAACACGUGGAUAACCUACCUAUAAGACUGGGAUAACUUCGGGAAACCGUAGCUAAUACCGGAUAAUAUUUUGAACCGCAUGGUUCAAAAGUGAAAGACGGUCUUGCUGUCACUUAUAGAUGGAUCCGCGCUGCAUUAGCUAGUUGGUAAGGUAACGGCUUACCAAGGCAACGAUGCAUAGCCGACCUGAGAGGGGGAUCGGCCACACUGGAACUGAGACACGGUCCAGACUCCUACGGGAGGCAGCAGUAGGGAAUCUUCCGCAAUGGGCGAAAGCCUGACGGAGCAACGCCGCGUGAGUGAUGAAGGUCUUCGGAUCGUAAAACUCUGUUAUUAGGGAAGAACAUAUGUGUAAGUAACUGUGCACAUCUUGACGGUACCUAAUCAGAAAGCCACGGCUAACUACGUG